rnacentral:siRNA from 1 species
UUGCUAACAAUCAGGAUAUGAUCA